GAUGAAGAACGUAGCGAAAUGCGAUAAGUAGUGUGAAUUGCAGAAUUCAGUGAAUCAUCGAAUCUUUGAACGCACAUUGCGCCCUUUGGUAUUCCUUAGGGCAUGCCUGUUCGAGCGUCAUUUAAACCUUCAAGCUAAGCUUGGUGUUGGGUGACUGUCCGCUUCACGGCGGACUCGCCUCAAAAUUAUUGGCGGCAGGUACAUUGGCUUCGAGCGCAGCAGAAACGCGAACUCGGGCCCGUCGUAUUGGCUCCCAGAAGCUAUCUUCACAAUUUUGACCUCGGAUCAGGUAGGGAUACCCGCUGAACUUAAGCAUAUCAAUAAGCGGAGGA
rnacentral:misc_RNA from 1 species